rnacentral:rRNA from 1 species
UACGGAGGGUGCAAGCGUUAAUCGGAUUACUGGGCGUAAAGCGUGCGUAGGUGGUUGAAUAAGUUAUCUGUGAAAUCCCCGGGCUCAACCUGGGCAGGUCAGAUGAUACUGUUUAACUCGAGUAUGGGAGAGGGUAGUGGAAUUUCCGGUGUAGCGGUGAAAUGCGUAGAGAUCGGAAGGAACACCAGUGGCGAAGGCGGCAUCCUGGACCGGCAUUGACGCUGAGGCG